CUUCGGGCUCCUGGUGAUUCAUGAUAACUUUACGAAUCGCAUGGCCUUGCGCCGGCGAUGGUUCAUUCAAAUUUCUGCCCUAUCAACUUUCGAUGGUAGGAUAGUGGCCUACCAUGGUUUCAACGGGUAACGGGGAAUUAGGGUUCUAUUCCGGAGAGGGAGCCUGAGAAACGGCUACCACAUCCAAGGAAGGCAGCAGGCGCGCAAAUUACCCAAUCCCGACACGGGGAGGUAGUGACAAUAAAUACUAAUACAGGGCCCUUUUGGGUCUUGUAAUUGGAAUGAGUACAAUUUAAAUAACUUCACGAGGAACAAUUGGAGGGCAAGUC
rnacentral:rRNA from 1 species